rnacentral:lncRNA from 1 species
CUACUAUCAGUAGAUGCCAAGACUUCCUGCUCCUCGGGUGCUAUGAUAACUGUUUUAAGUACAUUCUGUGUAUGUGUUUAUGCUUUUAUUGAUGGUCGGAGGCUCCCAGACCUUUAUUUUGUAAAUAGGGGCAUCAAUUUUUGCUAUUAUAUUUUUCUUCACUUUUUUUUCUAUUUUGUGGUAAUGGAAGUAUUUUUUUUAACCUCAGUUUUUUUGAACACCCCAGCCUGCUCCUGCUCUCCUUAGAGACAAAUAGGACAUGUCGACAAGGAAUUAUGAAAUUCUAGGGAAUAAGCAGGAUACUCCUGGAUGCUGUUGUGGAGUAAAAGGAGAAAUCCAAGCAGAAGGCAAGAAGGCUGCUCGAUCUUGCCACAGUGAAGGCGAAUGGAUUGGCUGCCUUCCUUCUACAGCAUGUUCAAGAAUUACCAGUCCCGUUGGCCCUACCAUUGGAAGGAGGAAGAUUCCCUGGGAUAUGGAACCAUCUCUAAUGCAUCAACUGCCCCCAAAUGGGACCCAG